CACUUACUUAAUGAUAGACACUUCAAACAAGCAACAUGAAAUAUUUAAGCAUAGUAUGUGUUUUGAGUAUGAUGCUUAUGUGCAUUAUUUCUGAGGGAAUUAGGGGUUCUGAACUGAAACAUGUAUCAAUAUUUAAAACUUUAGUUCCUGGAGGGAAGUAUGAGAGGAGAGACGGGAUAUUCAGCAUUCAAAAACGCCCAUCUCCUGGUAUAAGAAGAAAAAGAAUAUUAAACAAAAACCACAUCACACGCCGGUGCAACUGAUGACGAGUUUGCAAACAACGAAUCUAUUUUUUUUUUGUCAAGAAUCAAUGUGAUUUUGAACUUCAACUUUUAAUUAUCUUGUAUCCAAUGAUAACACUUUUUAAAACAAAAUUGAUAUUUAUUUAUAAAGUACAAUAAUAUAAGCAAACGUGUGCUUUUUAAGCAAGACAUUUCUUUUAUUCAUUAAAACGGAUUUAAUUAAAAUGCGUGGUAUAUAAUUAUGUUUGAAGCAAUUAAAGCUAUUGCAUGACUCAAAGCCGUGUCUGUAUAUAAGCGAUUGGAAUAACUCUUGAAAAGAAUAAAAACAAAUAUUUCCGUUUCAUGUUAUAUGAAUUCCAUAA